rnacentral:rRNA from 1 species
AUUGACAGAUUGAGAGCUCUUUCUCGAUUCGGUGGGUGGUGGUGCAUGGCCGUUCUUAGUUGGUGGAGCGAUUUGUCUGGUUAAUUCCGAUAACGAACGAGACUCUGGCCUACUAAGUAGUCGACGGAUCUCCAGAAAAUGGUGUCCAGUUCGCAACUUCUUCUUAGAGGGAUAAGCGGCAAUUCUAGCCGCACGAGAUUGAGCAAUAACAGGUCUGUGAUGCCCAC